rnacentral:rRNA from 1 species
ACGGAGGGUGCAAGCGUUGUUCGGAUUUACUGGGCGUAAAGAGCGUGUAGGUGGUUUAACAAGUCAGAUGUGAAAGCCCUGGGCUCAACUCAGGAAGUGCAUUUGAAACUGUUUUUCUAGAGUAUGGGAGAGGAGAGUGGAAUUCCCAGUGUAGAGGUGAAAUUCGUAGAUAUUGGGAGGAACACCGGUGGCGAAGGCGACUCUCUGGACCAAUACUGACACUGAGACGCGAAAGCGUGGGGAGCAAACAGG